UGAAGGUGAAGUCGUAACAAGGUUUCCGUAGGUGAACCUGCGGAAGGAUCAUUCAUAAUAAGUGUUUUAUGGCACUUUUUAAAUCCAUAUCCACCUUGUGUGCAAUGUCAGUCGAUCUUCUUCAUGGAGAUCGACCAAACAUCAACCUUUAUUUUUUAACUCUUUGUCUGAAAAAUAUUAUGAAUAAACAAUUCAAAAUACAACUUUCAACAACGGAUCUCUUGGCUCUCGCAUCGAUGAAGAACGCAGCGAAAUGCGAUACGUAAUGUGAAUUGCAGAAUUCAGUGAAUCAUCGAAUCUUUGAACGCAUAUUGCGCUCUUUGGUAUUCCGAAGAGCAUGCUUGUUUGAGUAUCAGUAAACACCUCAAAGCUUUUGGAUUUUUUAAAUCGAAAAGCUUUGGACUUGAGCAAUCCCAACACCAAUCUUUUUGAGAUCGGUGGCGGGUUGCUUGAAAUGCAGGUGCAGCUGGACAUUCUCCUGAGCUAAAAGCAUAUUCAUUUAGUCCCGUCAAACGGAUUAUUACUUUUGCUGCAGCUAACAUAAAGGGAGUUUGACCGUAUUGGCUGACUGAUGCAGGAUUUCACAAGGGUCGGCAACGAUUCUUGUUAAACUCGAUCUCAAAUCAAGUAAGACUACCCGCUGAACUUAAGCAUAUCAAUAAGCGGAGGA
rnacentral:rRNA from 1 species